UGGCGAAAGGGUUAGUAAUGGCUAGGUAACGUACCCCGUGCUCCGGGAUAGCUAUUCGAAAGGGUAGGUAAUACCGGAUGAUAUCACAGAUCUAUAGUUUUGUGAUCAAAGAUUUAUCGGCAUGGGAGCGGCCUAGUUCCUAUCAGCUAGUUGGUGAGGUAACGGCCCACCAAGGCAACGACGGGUAGCGGGACUGAGAGGUUGGCCCGCAACAUCGGAACUGAGACACUGUCCGGACCUCCACGGAGGGCUGCAGUAACGAAUAUUGCGCAAUGGGCGAAAGCCUGACGCAGCGACGCCGCGUGUAGGAUGAAGUUCCUCGGGAUGUAAACUACUUUUCGGGUUAAGAAAGUCUUCGGAUUGAUCGAUCCCGGAAUAAGUCACGGCUAACUUCGUGCCAGCAGCCGCGGUAAGACGAAGGUGGCGAGCGUCGUUCGGUAUUACUGGGCUUAAAGCGUGUGUAGGCGGAAAUGUAAGCGUCUUGUGAAAUCCCUCGGCUUAACCGAGGAAUUGCUUGGCGAACUGCAUCUCUUGAGGCAAGUAGGGGUACACGGAACUCUUGGUGGAGCGGUGGAAUGCGUAGAUAUCAAGAGGAACGCCGGUGGAGAAGUCGGUGUACUGGGCUUGUCCUGACGCUGAGACACGAAAGCGUGGGAGCAAACAGGAUUAGAUACCCUGGUAGUCCACGCUGUAAACGAUGUCAACUAGGUCGUGCGGGUUCUGACGCCGGCACGGCCGAAGCAAAAGUGUUAAGUUGACCGCCUGGGGAGUACGGUCGCAAGGCUAAAACUCAAAGGAAUUGACGGGGGCUCACACAAGCGGUGGAGCAUGUGGAUUAAUUCGAAGCAACGCGCAGAACCUUACCUGGGUUUGACAUGCUUGGAUGCCCUCCGGGAAACCGGAGUAAGCUGCCCUUCGGGGUGAAACUUGCACAGGUGCUGCAUGGCUGUCGUCAGCUCGUGUCGUGAGAUGUUGGGUUAAGUCCUUUAACGAGCGAAACCCUUACCGUUAGUUGCCAGCGAGUCAAGUCGGGGACUCUAACGGGACUGCCGGUGUUAAACCGGAGGAAGGUGGGGAUGACGUCAAGUCCUCAUGGCCUUUAUGCCCAGGGCUUCACACGUGCUACAAUGGUUCGGACAGAGCGACGCAAGACCGCGAGGUGGAGCAAAUCGCAAAAACCGGGCCUCAGUUCGGAUUGCAGGCUGGCAACUCGCCUGCAUGAAGGUGGAAUCGCUAGUAAUCGCGUGUCAGCUAUAACGCGGUGAAUGUGUUCCUGAGCCUUGUACACACCGCCCGUCAAGUGAUGGGAGUUGGGAGUACCCGAAGUCGGAUUGCUAACCAGCAAUGGAGGCGUCUGCCGACGGUAAGCCCGAUGACUGGCACUAAGUCGGAACAAGGUA
rnacentral:rRNA from 1 species